rnacentral:rRNA from 1 species
UACGAAGGGUGCAAGCGUUACUCGGAAUUACUGGGCGUAAAGGGCGCGUAGGUGGAUUAUUAAGUCAGAUGUGAAAGCCCUGGGCUUAACCUGGGAACUGCAUUUGUGACUGCAUGGCUGGAGUGCGGCAGAGGGGGAUGGAAUUCCGCGUGUAGCAGUGAAAUGCGUAGAUAUGCGGAGGAACACCGAUGGCGAAGGCAAUCCCCUGGGCCUGCACUGACGCUCAUGCACGAAGGCCAGGGGAGCAAACGGG